UACGUAGGGCGCAAGCGUUGUCCGGAAUUAUUGGGCGUAAAGAGCUCGUAGGCGGUUUGUCGCGUCUGCUGUGAAAACCUAAGGCUCAACCUUGGGCUUGCAGUGGGUACGGGCAGACUAGAGUGCGGUAGGGGUGACUGGAAUUCCUGGUGUAGCGGUGGAAUGCGCAGAUAUCAGGAGGAACACCGGUGGCGAAGGCGGGGUCUCUGGGCAGUAACUGACGCUGGAGGAGCGAAAAGCGUGGGAGCGAACAGG
rnacentral:rRNA from 1 species